CGAAAGCCUGACGGAGCAAGACCGCGUGAGGGAGGAAGGCUCUUGGGUUGUAAACCUCUUUUCUCUGGGAAGAACAAAAUGACGGUACCAGAGGAAUCAGCAUCGGCUAACUCCGUGCCAGCAGCCGCGGUAAGACGGAGGAUGCAAGCGUUAUCCGGAAUGAUUGGGCGUAAAGCGUCCGCAGGUGGCAAUUCAAGUCUGCUGUUAAAGCGCAGGGCUUAACCCUGUAAAGGCAGUGGAAACUGAAUAGCUAGAGUAUGGUAGGGGUAGAGGGAAUUCCCAGUGUAGCGGUGAAAUGCGUAGAUAUUGGGAAGAACAUCGGUGGCGAAGGCGCUCUGCUGGACCAUAACUGACACUCACAGGACGAAAGCUAGGGGAGCG
rnacentral:rRNA from 1 species